rnacentral:lncRNA from 1 species
CAUGUCAGCUAAAGGAGGUGUUCAACCUCCACAAGAAUUCAACCACCAUUAGACAUGUUAGCAAUUCAAUCGAAACAACCCAAGAGAUUUUCAUAGGGAAAAUGAUCUAACACCAUGUUCAGCAAAAUCUAUUGAAAUUGACAUAAAAACAAACUCCAAGAACGAAAAUAAAUCAUUAAAACCUCCAAAAUGUUUCAUAAAUCACAUAGGCCAAGUCCCAGAACGAGAUGAUCAUCACAAAACUAGAACCCAACAAAUCACAGACAGCUAGGACACGAAAUAACACGGAGAUCUCCACCUAACACUAAAACUAGUUUAGAAAUCAAGAACCAACCAAACCCGAACUAGAUUAGAAAUCAAGGACCAGCCAAUCCCGAACU